AUUGAACGCUGGCGGCAGGCCUAACACAUGCAAGUCGAGCGAGCGGCGGACGGGUGAGUAAUGUAUGGGGACUGCCCGAUAGAGGGGGAUAACUACUGGAAACGGUGGCUAAUACCGCAUACUAUCGGAUAACCCAUAUGGGAUUAGCUAGUAGGUGGGGUAAAGGCUCACCAAGGCGACGAUCUCUAGCUGGUCUGAGAGGAUGAUGAGGGACACUGGGACUAGGACACGGCCCAGAGUCCGACGGAGGCAGGAGGGGGGAGUAUGGGACAAUGGGCGCAGGCCGGAUGCAGCAAUGCCGGGUGUAUGAAGAAGGCCUUAGGUUUUUAAAGUACUUUCAGCGGGGAGUCGUUACCCGGAGAAGAAGCACCGGCUAACUCCGUGCCAGCAGCCGCGGUAAUAC
rnacentral:rRNA from 1 species